UUUCCUGCAAUAAGUUUUUCGGCGCUUUUAGAUGCAGCCAGAAACUCACUGGAAGGAAAAUAACAGAAAGCCCUGAAGAGCUAGCUAUGACUUCAGCUGGUAAAGUGCCAGAGCGCGCAUUUGGGUGGGGAGAGCUGCCCCUGCUCACAGGCAAUUCAAUAUCUAGGAGCACUGCUCUUUUUAUGCUCUUCCUUUGCAGCAGAGCACGCGGCUCUCACCCAGAGGAUUCCUGAGCACAGGGCUGGGGCUCAGUGCUGCAAGGCUCUGCUCACACCAGCAGCACAAAGUGGGGUUUCUUAUUCCCCUCUGCCAGCUCUGCCUCCAGUAUGGGACCCCGGCACAAGCAGAAACACCUGCAGGUUGGGAUGGCAGGUGCUGCUGCUAAGGGGAGGCUCUGCUCCUCCCAUGGGUUGUCACAGACUCUCAUUUCCUUUAAUAAAGCGGCACCAACGUUCACAUGCUGACACACAAGUCAGUCAGGUAGCAGCACAGCAGUGGCAGCACCCACACAGCUGUGAGCACAGAGUGGGCUCCAAUGUUCCCAGCAGAGCAGAGGAGGCUGCCAGGGCAGCACUGUGCCUGCGAUGCAUCUCCUGCUCACACACCUAUGGGAUGCCCCAACUGCCAAAACAGUGAUGCUUGCCUACAGGGCCUUCUUCAUAAACACCACUCAAGGGAAAGAAUGCCCAUGGCACUAUGCUGAGUUCCCACUCCUCCCUGCUUGGGUCCUUCUUCCUUUUACUAUAGCUUUACAGACACAAUCCCAGCUCCCAGCAGAACAGAGUGAGGCAUGAGAAGACUGGACACUUCCUAUGUGCUCCUAAAUGCAUCCAGCAGGUAACCAGAGGGUUCUGAAACAUCAGGCCUGAGCACAGCAGUAAGAGCUUAGCACCAUUCGUGCUGCUUGUUGCAGCAGAUCCAGUCCUGAGCUUGUAACUGGACCUGAUCGCAUUGCUGAAGCAGAGCAAGGAGGUUCAGAACAAUGCAGGAUGGAGCCAUCAUGGGAAUCUGCAAAUCAGAUUAAUUUAUCAAAAGAGGGAAAUCAACAGCAUCAACUCACAUCUCAGCUGCUCACGCCUGAUUAGAUGGCAGCGCAGAUUUGCCCCAGCCUUAUCUAAUGCGUCCAGCCCAGCAGAGCUCAGUUUGUGGUAUCUGCUACAACCUGACAAGGAUUAGACACCACCACAUGCGGCACAGAACACAAGUAGCUGGUGAGCAGGAGAGGGCCCCAGCUUUACUGCUGUGCUGUGACAGCUCAGGCCAUUUGGCUGCAGGUCUCUUCCUCAGACCUUCACCCUGCUGCACAGAGGGAUUCCAUGGAUGCUCUGCAUUACCCUGGAAGCCACAACAGCCCCGGGUUGGCCAAAGGUAGCCUUAAACCCAUCUCGUGUUUAAUUACUGGGCUUGAAUGCUGACUCACAACGCAAACCUUUCGCUCUCCGUAAGCCAAGAAAACAAACCCAUCCCCAGCACCCCACCCAGGGAGGUUAGCAGUGACUAUUUACAGAGCACUCCGAUGCUACGGUGGAGAAAUAUUACAGAAAUGCUAACAAGUAACAUACUUUGGAGGUGCUCAAUGCUGUGCCUUGAGCACAAAGCUGGGAAUUCACUGCGUGCUCCAGGCAGAGAGAUUUCCUGAUGAGCUGAUGGUCCCGGAGCUCUUGUGCCAGUCAGGAGCGAUGCUGCCAGAAAAUGGACUUUGUAUAAUUGUGCCUAAUGUACCUUUAAGGAGAGAAAGCUGCUAGAACAAACAAAAGCAGCGCCCGGCCGUGCAGGCUGUUUAUACUUGGGGUAGCCAGAGCACAAGGCUGCACUUUAGGGCUUAUCUUCUCUCUCUUUCUAAACAGGAAACGCACUUUUGUUCUGAGCAUUCUGGGAGAAGCCACUGGGGGAGAACCUUCAGAGCACAGGGUGUCAAAAAAUGAGUGCUUCAAUUCCCAGCCGAGGCCCAACGGGAGAGCACUGCAACCAGCAGGGAUGCUGCUCCUAACCACUGCAGGGACAUCCACAGUGAGCAGCCAGUAAGGCCAGCUGCAGGUAAACAACAUGCACCCUGUUUAUAGGACACAGCACAAAUAUUUCCCAGCGUGUUUACUCCCAGAUACUCGUGCUGUAUGGACAGGAAGCGACUGCAGAAGAAAGCCAGCCCAGCUCUGCUCCUUCCCAAAGCGCUGCCAGAAGGUAAGAGCAGCUUUGCUGGAUGCAGAAUUCUGCCAUAGAGGACCUGAGAUAUCAGAGAUGGAGAACACUGCCACACACUCAUCUGCAGAGAUGCAGAAAGCAACGCCAUAGGAUCGAUUCCAUUUCAUUCAAUUAAAAAAAAAAAGGGAUCAUUAAAAGAAUAAGAUUUUUCUGUUCAAAUCUCAAAAUGAUAGAGCAGGGUGAAGAUGAUUUAUUUACAGUCAAUCCAGCUUUGUGGGCUUUCACUCGUCUUGCUCCUUUCUCCCUUUACGUGCUCUAACAACCAAUUUUCUCUCACGUUUCUCUAUGAAGAGCUGAGUGCUGUCCCCAGCAUUAUGAGCCAGCAAGGUGUUCCAGCACCAAGAUAGCAGCUCUUUCGCUGCUGCUGUGAUAUUGACGUGACAAACUUCAGCCCUAGGGAUGACCAACGUGAACGUUAAGAAUUGUUCUGGGAUGAAACCUGGGAGAUAUUACUGCCCAUUCCCUCCCAGCCCAGGAGACUUAGCGAGGGGUCCCUGGAAUCCAACAAAUGGCUCGUUUAACAAAGGAAGAAUGGAAGCACUGCCUGAGGUCAAGACACAAGCACCACUGGAGACCCACCCCAGCAGUGUCCUAGACAGAACCCCCCCUUUUUCCAUAUGGUAGAGUGAGCGCUCAAAUUUGAUGUAACGAGAACUGUCAGAAUGGGAUCAGCUACAGAGAAUGAUCAGUUACCUCCCUUAAUUCCCUCUAAGGAGCACAGAACCCUUUCUCCUGGCGUGGAGUCACCUUUGAGUAGGGCAGCUUUUUACUUUGCUGAAACCUAAAAGUCAGAGCUGGAAAAGAUCAGACAGCUUUGCCAUCAAAAUUAACACAGGGCUGCCUGCCAGAAUACCUCUUGCACCGCAGGGCAGCUCAGCAGCCUCUAGCUGGUUGGCCACAGCCACUUCUCAGAAUGAAGGAAUGUCCUGAAACACUCCAGCCACCUACAGAGACUCAGGGCUACCAAAAGCACAGUGCUGCAGUGCUCACAUCAGAAGUUUGCUCUCCAGUUAGACGGAGAUCACCACCAAUUCGUUUCCACUGGGUUUAUUUUUUCCAUGUCAAGGUCAAUUGCAGAUAUGUUCCAAUGAGGAAUGUGCUGUAAGCAGCAGCUAACUGAGUCAAAGUUUGUUAUCAGGGCUUACCACAGGAGGACAAAGCUUUCUCUAAACUUCUAAUCCUCUUAUCGCCGUGCAAGCACAGCCCCCUAGUGCAGACACAGCUCUGGCAUGGUGUUUCCUACUCCCUCCUUGCUCUGGGUCCAGGUUAUGCCAAAGAAAAGCCUGGAGACAAAAAAUAAGAGCUUUCUGAAAUGUUGCAAAGUGAGGAGAAGGAUUUUUGUUGCCUUUGUUUUCUUUGCUUCUUGUUGUUAAGAUGCUGUUAUGUCAACAGCUGAUCUGCCAAGGCUGCCAGACUGGGUUUAUGUCUAAAGCUUUGUUAUUUGUUUUGGUGUCAGCUAUGCCUUCAAGCAUCCACAGACUUUGAUUUUCUUAAAUAAUUAUUAUUUUUAAUUUUAAUGAUACCGUGUUCUACCAUCAGAUCAGAGAGCGAGUCUCUUCCUCGUCAGGUUUGCACUAAACUGACUGAACACGCAGAAGAGAUUAUAGUUGAAAGAAUCUUACUUGAAAAGACCUGUUUGAAAAGAGAAAGAGAUAACAGUCAGUAAUUUUGCAUGAGAGAAACCUUCCUGCGCCCAUGUUUGACAGAACCAAAGUAGUUUCACUGUCCUGAGAGACCUUUGAAGUAUACAGGUUUUUCUUAUGAAGAAAGGUCACGGAGGAGCCAGCAGAUUACUGCAGAGAAAACGAAAGAACAGUCAUGUGGGUGCAGUUUCCAAAGGAGGCGACUCUGAAAGAUCCACAGCCUGAGCUCAGCUCUACAAUCAGACGACUUGAGGAGGAUGGCAGAGAAAGGGUUUCAGAGAGAAGAGCAAGUGGCACUGGGAGCAUUUAACUCAGCAAGCUGCAGAGAGCUCCAGCAUCGAGCUUCUGUGAUGGGACUGCAGAGAGCCCAAGGAGCCAGACUCCCCAUGGGCCCAUGGCAGUUCCACCAGGCAUCCUUAAGGAGCAGUGCUGUGAUAAUGCAAGCUCUCACACCCUCAUGCACUAACUUGAAUCACUAUCUGGAAGUACAUGUAAAGUAAAACAGACUAAGGUGAUUUAUAUCUUCCCACAUGGCUCUUUCAUGAGCUGAACCAUUUCACCGCGUAGCAGCUUGACGGAUGCCGUUAACUAUACACUAAAAACUUUGCAUUGGAAAAAUUACCUUUUCAUCAGGUGGCACACACUUUAUUUUCUAACACAAACCAGCUAUGGUUUGUUCCAGCAUGGAACAGCAAUGAAAGAGAUGCAAUGGUGAACAGAGGAACAAUAGAAUAAAGAGCACCACUUUGGGGCAUCUGCCUAUGGGUUCAGCUAAGGUUAAACCUAUGGAAUCAAUGCUAAGAGGGAGGGAGCUUCCAUUGGGCAGGGCUUUUCCCCUUCCUAAACUGUCUUUGGGUGCCCUUGACAGAGCCUCUGAAAGAGCCUGGCCUCUCUUACAGGAGAUGCAGUCUGUCCUCACCAACGCUCAGUGCAUCCAUUCAGCAAAGACCUGGCAAAGACCAAACUGAGGCAUAUUUCUGGAAAGAAAGAAAGAAAGAAACCAAAAUCCAACAAGCUCUCUUAGAUUGGAGACAGUCUAAUGACUUCUAGCACUGAAUAAUAGCCCUCUUCUUCAAAGUGCUCUAUUCAUGUUAAUAUUCAUGUUUGAAUCUAAUGACCUUGGGAAAAUAACGUGUAAUAAGUCACAGAAAGAUUAAAAAAAUAUAUGCAAUUUGGUCUUCUACACUCAAAAGCCACUGGUGCUGUGGGGAGACAGAGAUGCAAGAGCCAGAAUGAGGGCUUGCACCCAAGAUGCUUUGUCUCUCCUUUUGGUACCCAUGCUCAAGAAAUGGCCAACAUGAGAAAGGAGUUUAAAAGCCAUUAAGUGAUAUCACACAUUUAAGGGUGCAAAACCAGUUUAGUUGGAUGUGAAUGAGAGUGAAAGAACCCAAACCAUCUCUGAAGGCAAGGCCUGGUUCGAAUGAAUUCAAAUGCACCAUCACAAUCAGCAGCAUGGUGUGAGUGCUAGGGAGAAAAGUGAUGGUUCAGUGUAAUAAACAGGAGCGUGCUCCAACUAUUCCUUCCCUUCAUUCAUUUCUCAGGAAGUAAAAACUGCAUGUUUUAGAAGUGACAGCGAUAUCCUCCUCACAAAACAUUCAGCAGAAAAGCUGGGGAAAACAUCAGCGCUGAUGUCAUCUCGAGAAAAAAACGGACUGAAGUUCUCAGCCAUAAAACAUUCCAAUUUAUCAGACAUGUUUGAAAGGGAAAAUGUUUGUAAUGAACAAAGCUAACAGACACCGCUGUUAAGGAAAGCCACUAAUUGAUGAUGCUGAACAAAAGCUCCUAACAAGGCCAACUGCUUAGUUAGAAAUGCUUAGGGAAAAAAGAUAGCGCGACUACAGGAAAUUUAUUGCUGCUGGAACUGUUAUCUUAUCUACUUAAAACACAAAUGUUAUUUAACCUGAAAGAAAAGAGAUUAUUCAAAUAAAAUACCAGCCCUUCCUUAAGCUACCGCGUUUGCAAGCAAAGCCUUGAAUAUAAAACAGAUCAUCAUUCUGAAGGGUAAAUUAAAUACAAGGGGUAAAUUAAAUACGAGGGGAGAGAAUGAGAAAUUCACCUUUGGCUUUGUGCAAGAUUAUUUCCAUUGGCUGCCUAUCUAAAAAGCAGGCAGCCAGGAGACCAAACUGCAACCACACAUUAAGGCCAAGGGGUGGUUUGACCUGGAGACUUUAAUUUGGUACUUACUUAAAUGAAGAGAAGCCCUCGUGGGUCUCUGUCACAAUGGGAGAGUACACUGUGCUGCCUGCCCGCAGCUGGGUAACAGUGCUUGAACUUGACCUGUAUCUAUGGAAAGAGUUAACCCAAAACACACAAAAACCAUUUCCUGGUCUACAUAAAACUCUGAGGCUGGAGAUGUGUGUUAGCCCAGGAUGUGGUUAUUACUGAGCUAACAAGCCACACUUCCAGAUCAAACUCAAGUCUAACGUAUCACACGUCGCAGGCGUUUGUGCUUUUCAAUCAAUGCAUCACAAACACAGCAGGCUGCCUCACCAGAGCUCCACGUUAUUCUCACCCUGCAGCCCCAGGGCCUUUGCUGCACAAAUAACCUCAGCUCCUGUGGGGCAGCUAUCUUCUUAUACUUCGUUUGCCAUGCUGCAUGGGGGCACAGCCCCCAAACACCGGUGCAAGAAUGAGGAAUGAUUCUUUUUGUGGCUUGCUGUAUUAAAACCAUACCUAAAAUGUGUUCCUUAACGUACAGGAAUCUUUCCAUCUCCACUGUUCUUCCAGGUUUCUUCUGAUGCACAGGAUUAAUAAGAACAAAAAUGGCAGCUCUUCACAUCAACUUGAUCUCAUUUAUGCACUUUCAGGGCCACCUAUGGGGCCAAAAUAUGCUGGAGAGCAGAAUAAAUAUCUUGAACUCCACCUUUUGACUUUAUGUCCAUCCUAAAGAAACACAAACAGUAUAAUUCCUAAGGCAAAACUCUCAGAUUAAGACUUCACAGCUACUAUUCUUUGCCAAGGGAAUCUUAUCCCCCCGGUUGGCCAUGCUUGCUGCAGUUACAAAACCCUACAUGCCUACAUCUCAGUUGCACAUCCUUUAAAAGUGACAAAUAAGCAUUUGGUUCCGUAUUAAUUCCCUGUAAAUACCACUUCAGAGCCAAUGGGGACUUUUAACUUGUGCUGGCUGAGCAGUCAGUAAAUAUACCAGGUUCAAAAGAUCAAUACUGAGGAACAAAGGGGCUUAAGCUCCUAAUCGUACACACAAAGACCAGGGGCAGUGGGGAAGAGCAGCUCUUUAAGGAGAGCUCACAGCCCCUGGUGUUGCAUCAUUUCACACUAAGCAGUUAUUUCUGGGGCAAAGCAGGUGCCACACCUCUUAAUUCCAUCACUGCUAAUUAAUCAGAAGCUGAAGCAGUGCAGUAGUACCUGGAGGUAAUGCUAUAUCUGCUCCAGAUAAAAACAUCCGUGACACAAAUGCAGUGUACAACUGCAGAUACCACAGCAGUGAGGUUAAGUGCCCAGUAUGUUUAAAAAGAAAAGGGAGGAACGCCAUGAGCUGCAUUAUUACAACACUCCAUUGAUACAGAAUCUCAUUUUAUCACACUAUGGAGGAAAAUAACCAGGUCAGGUACAAAAACAGAGACUGCAGCCAAGCACCAGCUUAUAUCUGGCAGUAAGAUUGCAAGAGUUGAGCAACAGAGAGGGUAGCUCACAAAGUUUCCCUAACAACCUCUGAAAACAAACACAGUAAGCAUCGUUUGCUGCAGCUGAUGGAAGCAGCAAACUGCUCCCCUGUGCAAUUGCAUCCCUCACCAAAUGGAUGAGCCACCACAGCACCCUUUAUGGCUGAGCGUGCUGCUGAAUUGAGUACAUACAAGAUGCACUGACAUUACACGUGCUGUAAGAUCACAAGCUUACGUGUUCUGCCAUAACACACCCUUAGAAAAACUGGGUCCCUUAUGACGAAGCUGCUUCUGGGAUCCUAAAAGGAAUUAGGAAUGCUUUACAAGUUUAUACUGAUGAACUGUAACUUCAGUUUUUAAGAUACACAAGCAAAAUGCAGACAGAAUAGCAAGACGUAGAACUUUUGACGGCAAGGCACUGUUAGCUGACACUUAGCUCUGCUUAUAACAAAUGCCAAAGCGCCUUCCAUCUCAUCCUGGACGGAGGAGGAAGAGAAGCACGCUCAAAGCAUCCUCGGGUGCACUGCAGAGGUCCAUGCACGCCCUCUGCUGCUGGCCUGAGCUCCCAGUGACAGAGCAGGAGAGCGAAGGGAGCUGAUCCACCCCCAGGGACCACCAAGAAUUUAGAAGUGCUUUUAAACCCGCUGCUAAUUAAAAGGAAAGUUGCGCUGGAAUUUAGACAAGGAUCUGCUAUCAGCCAUCUUUUGCAAGGAUAACCCAGGUGCACGUGAUGAUGCACUGAGCAUGCAAUCUGCACCGUGGGUCAAUUUAUCUGCACGUGAACUGACAGCCCUCUAUCGAACUAAGCCAAGUGUGCAUCCAGGAUGAAUGCAGCUGCCAUCUGACACCCCCAGAUAAUGAACUGACUGUGUAUUUACUCUCACUGCUGGGACGCACGUGGCAAAAUAGAAAGGCUAUUAAUCGCUAAGGGAAAGCUUGUAGAAGCAAGGAUGACAAAUAAAGGGCUUUGUCUCCUUGUAAUUGGGCUUCACUGGGUUUUGAACUUGACGGCCUCCAUUUUCUUUGCUGCCAAGAUGACUUAAUUCCUUACAUCUUCUCAACUUAUAGGUAGUAACAGGGAAGGAUACUUGCCAAACUGUUCUGGCCAAAACCUGACUCAGCCUCCUCAGAGAGAAGCACGGGGUCUGCAAAGGAACAAAUCCCAAAACAAUCUGUGAGACAUCAGGAAAGAGGAACACACAUCUCACUGGCAUUGACAGAGCAGAAAGCAACCGCAGAACAGCGAGACCCUUGGAUACAGAAAAAUUACACAAGUCGUGUUUAUGGGUUAUAAAAGCCCUUUUAUAAAGCCAUUUUUAAACAAAACCAAAAAGUUUACAAAAGAAAAUAAAAGAUACAGAAGAAUGAGUUGCUUAAUAUAUUCCAAAAAGGAGAAAAAAUAAAAGAGGGGACACAAUUCCAACAUGCUGAACAAUAAAGGGUUCUUUUUCCUCGUGGUUUUUUUUUUAAUACAAAAUACAAGCGAAGGAUACACAUUUAAAACAGAGCUCAGGAGCAGGUAUGCAGUCCUGGGAACCCUUCAAUAAAAGCAAAGCAGGGUUUUGUUACUUUUUUAACUUUUCUUUCUUUGCAGGUACAUACAGAGACUGGAAUAUGUCAAAUUAAGUAGCACGAAAGACCAUCACACAAUUCUACCAAUGAAUGUCGCACCUAUAAAUUCACGAACAUGGUCAACAGUCAUGUUCACUUCAAACCCCUUUUAAAAAAAAAAAAGAAAAAAAAGAAAAAAAAGUGUUGUUUUUAUUUUAAAUAAAGCAUUAAUGUUACAUUCAAACAGAACUCCUAGUACCAUGCUGUAGAGCUCAGUAUUGUCAAGGUAUUGCAAAAGUUGCCAACCCUAUCGGGCCCAGCGAUGGGAGCCACGUCUGCGCACACCCCAACCGUGGGGCAGCUGCCCCUUUUUUCUGGCCACUCUUGACAUUAAAAAAAAAUAUAUAUAUAUAUUAAAAGGGAUAAAGGAGGGUUAACUGCAAAGAGCCUGAUUCUUAGAAAAGCUCAACAUGGGACUGCAAAUACUCGGAACAAGUAUUUGUUGCAUACCAUACAACGAUGCUUCGCUGAAAGCCAAAGGCCCAAGGCCCUACCUGGAGUCUCUUCCUUCUCUACCUUCAGAGCCAUUAUUCAGGGUUUGCUGUGACAUGAUGUUCAUGGUUAAACAAAAGGAGAAAGUCACGUAGCUCUUAUUUACAAGUGUUUUGUGUGUUUUUUUUUUGUU